rnacentral:rRNA from 1 species
GACAGAGGGUGCAAACGUUGUUCGGAAUUACUGGGCGUAAAGAGCUCGUAGGCGGCUCGGUAAGUCGGAUGUGAAACCUCCAGGCUCAACCUGGAGUCGCCAUCCGAUACUGCUGUGGCUUGAGUCCGGUAGGGGAGCAUGGAAUUCCUGGUGUAGCGGUGAAAUGCGCAGAUAUCAGGAGGAACACCAGUGGCGAAGGCGGUGCUCUGGGCCGGAACUGACGCUGAGGAGCGAAAGCGUGGGGAGCAAACAGG